UGAAAUCUCGGGGCUCAACCCCGAAACUGCGUCUGAAACUACAGGUCUAGAAUCUCGGAGGGGGAAGGGGAAUAUCGCAUGUAGGGGUAAAAUCCGUAGAUAUGCGAUGGAACACCAGAGGCGAAGGCGCCUUCCUGGACGAGUAUUGACGCUGAGGCGCGAAAGCGUGGGGAUCAAACAGGAUUAGAUACCCUGGUAGUCCACGCUGUAAACGAUGAAUAUUAGGUAUUGGAGGAUUUGACCCCUUCAGUGCCGUAGCUAACGCGUUAAG
rnacentral:rRNA from 1 species